AGAACGAACGCUGGCGGCAGGCCUAACACAUGCAAGUCGAACGAGAAGCCACCUUCGGGUGGUGGAAAGUGGCAGACGGGUGAGUAACGCGUGGGAACGUACCCUUUGGUUCGGAACAACUCCGGGAAACUGGAGCUAAAACCGGAUAAGCCCUACGGGGGAAAGAUUUAUCGCAGCAGGAGGGGCCCGCGUCGGAUUAGGUAGUUGGUAGGGUAACGGCCUACCAAGCCUUUGAUCCGUAGCUGGUCUGAGAGGAUGAUCAGCCACACUGGGACUGAGACACGGCCCAGACUCCUACGGGAGGCAGCAGUGGGGAAUAUUGCGCAAUGGGCGAAAGCCUGACGCAGCGACGCCGCGUGGGAGAUGAAGGCCUUCGGGUUGUAAACCCCUUUCAGCAGGGACGAAGCGAAAGUGACGGUACCUGCAGAAGAAGCGCCGGCUAACUACGUGCCAGCAGCCGC
rnacentral:rRNA from 1 species